rnacentral:rRNA from 1 species
CCAAUAAGCGGAGGAAAAGAAACCAACAGGGAUUGCCCCAGUAACGGCGAGUGAAGCGGCAACAGCUCAAAUUUGAAAUCUGGCUUCGGCCCGAGUUGUAAUUUGUAGAGGAUGCUUUUGGUGAGGUGCCUUCUGAGUUCCCUGGAACGGGACGCCAGAGAGGGUGAGAGCCCCGUAUAGUUGGACACCGAGCCUCUGUAAAGCUCCUUCGACGAGUCGAGUAGUUUGGGAAUGCUGCUCAAAAUGGGAGGUAUAUCUCUUCUAAAGCUAAAUACUGGCCAGAGACCGAUAGCGCACAAGUAGAGUGAUCGAAAGAUGAAAAGCACUUUGAAAAGAGGGUUAAAUAGUACGUGAAAUUGUUGAAAGGGAAGCGCUUGUGACCAGACUUGUGCCCGGCUGAUCAUCCAGUGUUCUCACUGGUGCACUCUGCCGGGCUCAGGCCAGCGUCGGUUCUCGCAGGGGGACAAAAGCUUCGGGAACGUAGCUCCUCCGGGAGUGUUAUAGCCCGUUGCUCAAUACCCCUGCGGGGACCGAGGUUCGCGCUCUGCAAGGACGCUGGCAUAAUG